ensembl:lncRNA
AACGAUUACCACAACAAGGUAAGUUAACGCAUCUUUCACCUUACACAAUUGCCAUUUUGCUGUUGUUAUGGUGAGAACAUUAAAGCUCUAUUCUCACAGCAACUUUCAAGUACGCAAUACAGUAUUGUUAACUACACUCACCUGCCGUACCUUAGAUCCCCGGAACUUGAAUUCAAGAUGAUUUUUCAAGUGGAAAGAUUAAUUCUAAAAACUUAUAAAGAAGAGUAAAAGUCCACAAAUAGCCAAGGGAAUUCUGCAAAAGAAAAGCAAAGAAGGACUAGCUCUAUCAGACAGCAACCCAUAUUACAAAGCAUAAGCAUAGGAGAGACCAGCAAAAUGGAAAGUUUGAAGAAGCGCUACAUAUAUAAGGGAGUCGCUGCAUGAUAGAGCUGGCAUUACAGAGCAGAGGGAAAAAGACACAUCACGCAGUAACAGGUCUUGGAAAAUGUGGUCCACUCUGUGGAAAAAAUAGAUUUAAAUUAAAAUUUUUUAAUUUAAAUUUCUUUUCAAUAAUUGUAUAAUACACAAUUACAUUAUAUAAUAACAGAUAUAAUUUUUAUAUAAUAACAAAUAUAAUUAUUUAUAUAAUUAUAAAUGAAGCAUUUUAAAAUUUAAAUAAUUUAUUUAAAUAUAUUAAAAAUCACAAAAUAGAGAAAGAAAUGCCAAAUAGUUUUAAGACUAUAAAACCACUAAUAGGAAAUAUAGGGGAAAAUCUCUAAGCUUGCAGAAGCAAGGGAGAUUGGGCAAAAUAGACCAAUAGGUGGAGUACAGAGGAUUUUUAGGGCAGUGAAACUACUCUGUAUGAUACUAUAAUGGUGGGUAUGCAUCAUGACACAUUUAUCCAAACCCGUAGAAUGUACAACACCAAGAGUGAACCUUAAGGGAAACCAUGGAUGCUGAGUGAGAACGAUGUGUCAGUGGAGGUUCAUCGAUUGUAACAAAGGCACCCCUCUGGUGGGGGAUGCUGAUAAUGAGGGAGGCUACGAAUGUGUAGGGGCAGGGGGCGUAUGGGAACUCUCUGUACCUUCCACUCAAUUUUGCUGUGAACCUAAAACUGCUCUGAAAAAUAAAGCUCAUUAAAACAGACUAACACACACAUUUUGCAGCUCCUCCCAUUAGGAGGUAGAAGGAGUCUUUUUUCCCUGUCCCUGAAUCUGGGCUUGGCCGUGUGACUUGCUUUGGCCCACCAGGCAUUAGCCACAUGAAGAAGCAGAGGCUGGAAAAGCACACGUACGCUAGGGCUUGCCCUCCCUGCUGCUGCGACCCUGAGACCACCAUGUGAAGAAGCCUGGGCUAGCCUCCUGGAGGAUGAGAGGCCGUGUGGAGUGAGUGAGAGGCUUGGCCAUCCCAGCUGAAGUCCCCAUGAUGUGAGGCCACCACUGACCAUCCAGCCCCAGGAGGCAGGUCCAGUCCGGAAGAACCACCCCACCAGCCCACAACAACUAAUCACUGUUGGCUUAAGCCACUUGGCUUUGCAGUGAUUUGUUAUACAGCAAAAGCUAGCUGAUUCGAGUAGGGGCCCCCAAAAAUACAACUUUAAAGGAAGAAAUGGAUGGAUUUAACACCUCAAAAGUAAAGUUUUCUCUUCAAAAAAAGACACGCUAGACAAAGGUAAUAGAUAAGAGAUAUGCUGGAAGAAGAUAUUUUGCAAAAGUAGGACAAAGAAUUAAAAUCCAGGGGGCCGGCUUGGCGGCGUAGUGGUCAAGUUCGCACACUCUGCUGUGGUGGCCCAGGGUUCACUGGUUCGGAUCCUGGGCAUGGACCUAGCACCACUCACUCAAGCCGUGCUGAGGCAGCGUCCCACGUAGAAGAACUAGAAGGCCCUACAACUAGGAUAUACAACUAUGUACUGGGGCUUUGCGGGGGAAGAACAGGGGGAAGACUGGCAACAGAUGGUAGCUCAGGGCCAAUCUUCCUCAACAACAACAAAAAACGAUUAAAAUCCAGAAUAUCCAAGGAACUCUUUCAGAUCAACAAGAAAAAAAAAAUAGAAAAAUGGGCAAAAAUAUGAAAAAGAAUUCUUAGAAGUAAAACUGGAAUGGCCAGUGAGUAUAUGAGGAGAGUCUCAAACUUCUCAGUAGUAGGAAUGCAGAUUGCAUUAACAAUGAGAUACUGCCUUACGACCAUUAGACUGACAAGAAAUUAAACGUUAUGUGAGAGCAAGUGCUGACAAGGACAUGGGGAAAUGGAACUCCUUAUCGCACCACAGAUGAGCAGGAGUCACCUGCUACCACCAUUUUUAGAGGUCAGUCGGGCAAUAUUUAGUGAAAACAAGUAUAUGCAUAUUCUUUGUGUGAACCAGAAAUACCAUUCCUGGCGAUACCCUAGAGAAACUGACAGGUGCCCAAAGAGACUUCUGUCCGUGUAUUUGCACUGGCAUUGUCAGUGUAGACAGCAUUAAACAAUCUAACUGUCCUUCAGUGGAGCGUAGACAAGCUGUGGUACAUGCAUAGGAUGGAAAAAACUAGACAGCGGUCAGAAGCACUAAACAAGAUUUACUUAUAGCAACAUGGCUACUUCUCAAAACCAUCACAGAGUGAAAAAAUACGUAGAAUGAGAGGUACGGCACAGCACCAGUGACAUAAACUACGUCUACCUUACAAAUGUGAAGGUAUGGAAGGUGGGUUAGAAGAACGCACAUUAAAACCCAGAAUGGGUGUUUGUGAGAGGAGAAUAAUAUGGCGGUUAAGGGACUAUCAUAAAAUAAAACAAAAUCAGAAAAUUAGUUUUAUAUGUGUACCUACCAUGUACAACUGCAUGAGUGUUACUGAUAAAGCUGCAAUUUAGAAAGCUAAAUUAAAAAAAUAUAAACAAAAAAGAAGAGCUUCUUUUAUGUCAAUAGAGUACAAAGUGCAGAGUGAGCCCCCCAGCUGGGACAGUAUUUUGCUGGUACCGCUAGCAUCACUAUGAACCUGUAACUCUAAAUGGAUGCCCAGUGUGGAAAACAAACAAGACAAAAAGCAUCUUUCUUCUUAAAGGAAGAAUCCAUGUGGGGAAAAUCCCAGGCUUCUUGCUGAAAUCAGAUAUUAAAAGGCUCGUGGUCCCCUUCACUCAUACCCAUGAUCUGCACUUUACAGUGAAUUUUGCUCUAUGGCUGUGCUGCUUUGUAACAACCACUUCUUUUUUUCUUUUUCUUUUUCUUUUUUUUUUUGGUGAGGAAGAUUGGCCCUGUGCUAACAUCUGCUCCCAGUCUUCCUCUUUUUGCUUGAAGAAGAUUGUCCCUGAGCUAACCUCUGUACCAAUAUUCCUCUAUUUUAUAUGUGGGAUGCUGCUACAGCAUGGCUUGAUGAGUGGUGUGUAGGUCUAUGCCCAGGAUCCAAACCCAUGAACCCUGGGCCACUGAAGCAGAGCACAAACCUAACCACUACAUCACUGGGCCAGCUUCUGUAACAACCACUUCUUUAAAUAUGAAAUCAAUAUCUAUGCAGGGCCUCCAACCUUAUACCACUCUUGAGAAUAAUUUAUUUCAUCUAGCUUACAUCCAAAGGUAAAACCAAUCUAUCUGUAUAUUCUUACCUGGAAACAACCACUCAUGCGAGAAUCAAGGUGUUAUUCCUUGAGUUAAGAAUUUGUCCUGGCCCCGGUCUUAUUACCAUGCUUACAUCUGGUUACGUUUUUCAUAGCCAUUUGAGUUCGUGGAAUACAGACCUUCCUCUACUGUCUCCCCGGUACAGUAACCCACGAAGAGAUUAUAGGUGUGAGUGUGGUGGGCUGAGGGAGGACAGCAUCCGGGUUAGGACAGGGAGCUGUGCUGAACACAUGGGCAGACAGAAUCCAAGUGUGAUGGUUCAUUUUAUGCCUCAGCUUGGCUGGGCCCAUGGUGUCCAGAUAUUCGGUCAAACUUUUUCUUGACAUUUUAUGAGUGUUCUUUGAUGAGAUUAACAUUUAAAUGAGUAGGCUUUAAGCACAGCCGAUUGCCCUCCGUAAUGUGGGUGGGCCUCAUGCAAUCAGUCAAAGGCCUGAAUAGAACAAAAACUGACCUCCCCCAGCAAGAAGGAAUUCUCCAGCCUGACAGCCUUUGGAUUUCAACUACAGCAUUGGUUCUUCAGCCUGACAGCCCACCGAGCAGGUUUUGGACUUGCCAGCCAAUUUCUCAAAAUAAAUCUCUCUCCAUAGAGACAUAUCCUAUUGGUUCUCUCUCUGGAGAACCCUAAUAUACCGAGGAACUCCUGCAAGGGGCUGAUCAGCAGCAUAUCAGCCAGAGUUUGUGCAUCGGCUUCUGCCUGCAGGGUUGGUGGCUUGGGAUCAGUGAUAAGUAACAACAACUUCAGCAUAGCACGGCGGAAAGAGAUGCUCAGAUUUCGUGUAGGUGGUGUUCAAUUUCCAACAAACAGAACUGUUUAUACGAAGGGGAAAACAUCUCUAAAACAACAAUGUCCCACCAUCGAUCCCCAAACCCUAUCAAUGUUAACCACAACAAUUCACCAGAUGGCUCAGCUUGGUUUCCCAGAAGGUGAGACGAUUCCAUGAAGGAAAAUAAGCUGAUUCUAAAAACUGGAAAUAAUUCCAUUACAUAGGAUUUUUCUUUUAGUUUGUUUUGUUUGCUUUUCAUUCUACUCACUCAGUAAGGCCCAGUCGCCAUAAGGUAAGACUCCUCUGUGGGUGAGGCUGGAUGCCAGGUUAAACAUUCACGACGUCCUGGGGAAAUCUCAGGCCGGCAGGAAGUUCAGCGUUGUGAGUAAGUUCGGGCUCCACUCACACCCAUUUCCUCUGGCUCUGAGCUCCGGGGGAGAUGGACAGCGUUGGGCCACCCAGUGAACACACG